rnacentral:rRNA from 1 species
GGGUGCGAUCAUACCAGACACUAACUGUCACCGAGAUCCCAUCAGAACUCCGAAGUUGAGCGUGCUUGGGCGAGAGUAGUACUAGGAUGGGUGACCACCCUGGGAAGUCCUCGUGUUGCACCCC